rnacentral:rRNA from 1 species
GACGAACGCUGGCGGCGUGCUUAACACAUGCAAGUCGAACGGAAAGGCCCUGCUUUUGUGGGGUGCUCGAGUGGCGAACGGGUGAGUAACACGUGAGUAACCUGCCCUUGACUUUGGGAUAACUUCAGGAAACUGGGGCUAAUACCGGAUAGGAGCUCCUGCUGCAUGGUGGGGGUUGGAAAGUUUCGGCGGUUGGGGAUGGACUCGCGGCUUAUCAGCUUGUUGGUGGGGUAGUGGCUUACCAAGGCUUUGACGGGUAGCCGGCCUGAGAGGGUGACCGGCCACAUUGGGACUGAGAUACGGCCCAGACUCCUACGGGAGGCAGCAGUGGGGAAUAUUGCACAAUGGGCGGAAGCCUGAUGCAGCAACGCCGCGUGCGGGAUGACGGCCUUCGGGUUGUAACCCGCUUUCGCCUGUGACGAAGCGAGAGUGACGGUAAUGGGUAAAGAAGCACCGGCUAACUACGUG